GCGCCUGCCGAGGGACGCCCGUCAUCUCUGCCCGGGCCAGCAGGCCGCUCCCUCCUGGGCGAGUGACCCUGUCCCUGGGGCUCAGGAGGCACUGAGGUCGCCCACCGUGCGGCACUGUUUGGGGACCCCUGCUGGGUGUCUGCUGAACCGCAAGCCCCACGCUACCUGGGCCCCACCCUGGGGAGACCUGCUCGGGGUGAGCAGCCUCAGCUGCCCAGCCAGAGCCCACUGCCGUCCUGGGCUUCAGUCCACCCCAGCCCUGACGCUGGUCUCUGGGACAUCCGGCAGUCACGGUCACCCUUGUCCCAACAGUCUCUGGGGGCCCCACUAGGGGCGCAUGCCCCACAGCCCUGGAUCCACCCAGCCCUUGGCAUCCCCAGUCAGGAUGCAGGAUGCUCAGCUGGACGCCAGAGUGGGAGGGCCAUGCAGUGGGAGUGGACAGCCCUCGGGCAGGAGAGGAUGACCACCAGAGGACAGGUCCCCACAGCUCCUGCUGCCCCAGUGGUCACUAAGACGCAGAAACAGUACAUUCAACAGGACAGAGCUGGACGUUGGGGCCAGUCUUGUGUCCCUGGGAAGUCCCUGACCCUCAGACCUUUUGUCACCAACCGUCUUCGGACAGGAGGCAGAGGAGGAAGAGUGGUCCACUCCCCCCCAGGGUGGGCCCCGCUUCCUGCCAACCUUCCUUCCUCCCCAGAACGGAGGGGCGCCCCUUUCCCAGGCCUCUCCAGGGGUGGCUGAGGCCGGCUGAGCCUCCCAACAGGAGGCCCCCUGAGCCUCCAGGGGGCCCCUUCUGCACAGCACCAAAUCCAAUGCCCUGGUGUGUCUAGGGCACCUGCCCCACCUGGACAGAGGGCUGGGUGCAGGAGGGGGGCACCUGGGGCGAAAGCAGAGAUGCCCUUCUAUCUGACGGGGCCAGAGGAGACAGCCUGGGCCCUGAGGCAGGGAAGAGACCCCCCUCCUCCUGCAGCAGGGAAGAGACCCCCCCACACACCUGCCCUGCAGCAGGGAAAAGACCCCCACACACACACCUGCCCUGAAGCAGGGACGGGUGUGCUGCUGCUCGGUGACAAGGCCCUGCCUCUCCACCACCUGGGGCGGCCUCAGGAUGGCCGAGGUCUUGCUCUCCCCCCGUCUCCGGCAUGACCCAAGAGCGCCCACCAGGGGCACCUGGUGCCGUGUGAUGGCCCUGCCGUCCCCCUCCCGGCCCCAAGUGGCCCUUACCUGGGUGACAGACCACCUCAGCACCACGGGGCGCGUCACACAUGGCACCACCUUGCUCAGCAGCUGCAGCAGGCGGGACUCGCUGUGGGACACGGGGGACUUCUUGUUCAGACAGUAGGUCAUCGUGUCGUGGCUCCCUGGAGGAAACACAGGGACGGCCAUCAGCCCCCCAGCUGCCCUCACAGCCAGCGGGUGGACAGCGCCCCAGGCACGCCCACCUGCAGCCUGGGCAGGGGCCCUGCGUGGAGACCCCGUCUCAGCCCCUGCCCUCCAGGGCUGGGGGUCGCGACGCCCAUGAUCCUAAGCCCUCGUUUGUGGUGACUUGUUACAUCAGCCCCAGGACGUGAGUACGUGUUGACUGCAGAAACACGAGUGUGCAGAUGAGAGGACUGUCCCUGGGCGUCACCGGAGGAGAGUUCCUGUGCGUCAUGGGAGGACCGUCCCUGUGCGUCAUGGGAAAAGAGUUCCUGUGCGUCAUGGGAGGACCAUCCUUGUGCGUCACGGGAGGACUGUCCCUGAGCGUCAUGGGAGGACUGUCCCUGUGCGUCAUGGGAGGACGCCCCUGUGCGUCAUAGGAAAAGAGUUCCUGUGUGUCAUGGGAGGACCGUCCCUGUGCGUCAUAGGAAAAGAGUUCCUGUGCGUCAUGGGAGGACUGUCCCUGGGCGUCAUAGGAAGAGAGUUCCUGUGCGUCAUGGGAGGACCGUCCUUGUGCGUCACGGGAGGACUGUCCCUGUGCGUCAUAGGAAGAGAGUUCCUGUGCGUCAUGGGAGGACGCCCCUGUGCGUCAUGGCUGGCCUCUGACGUGCAUCCUCCUGCCUCAGCCUCCGAGUUGCUGGGAUGUCAGGCGUGGCUGCGGCGCCUUCUGCCGUCACAGUGUCCUUGGGUUUUGCUUUUUGUUUCCCCCCUGGCUUCCACCUGUGCGAGAAGCCAGCAGGACUCUUCACACCCCUGCCUUUGCUGUGCAGAAGCUAGUAACAGGGCGCCAUCCGUCUGUCCA